GGACACUCAUGAAGACAUGGGUAGAUGGCUGAUAAUGGCUACACUCAUCGUGGCUGUCAAGAGGGAACUGGGAAAACCCCACAAGAUGAACAUGUGUCCACGGAGGAGAGGCUUCACUUGAACUCCACACGUGAUGUUCCCCAGCAGGAUUGGGCCGAGUGGCUCUGGACACUAAAGGGAUUAUUUUAUUGAUCUGGAGAAAUGGCUCUGAGGCCUUCAGUGUAAAACAAGUGUAAGAGAAGCACAGACGGUGUGACGUGCCCAGACAGCCAGCAGGCUUCCUGUGCCCUCCACCCCCGUGCACACAUGUCCAUGUUUCUCUGACCUUAAAGAGAGGAGUGGCACCAUCCAGGCCAUCUGGCCUCGUGGCUUGCCUGUGGGUGAGAACAGAAAGGAGACUCGAGGGUCAGAAACAUGAUUUAAAGGUCUAUUGAAUUUCUCUCUCUUCAUCUCUGAAUUAUUUUCUUUUUCCAAGCACAUAUAUUACUUUUUUAAAAUAACGAAAUAAAAUUGCCAGGAGGCCACUGCACAAAAAA
rnacentral:lncRNA from 1 species